rnacentral:rRNA from 1 species
CAGCCGCCGCGGGAAUACGGAGGGAGCUAGCGUUAUUCGGAAUUACUGGGCGUAAAGCGCACGUAGGCGGCUUUGUAAGUUAGAGGUGAAAGCCUGGAGCUCAACUCCAGAAUUGCCUUUAAGACUGCAUCGCUUGAAUCCAGGAGAGGUGAGUGGAAUUCCGAGUGUAGAGGUGAAAUUCGUAGAUAUUCGGAAGAACACCAGUGGCGAAGGCGGCUCACUGGACUGGUAUUGACGCUGAGGUGCGAAAGCGUGGGGAGCAAACAGGAUUAGAUACCCCCGUAGUCCCUGUCUCUUAUAC